CUGCAAUUGUGCAACGGAAAGCCCUGUGAUCAAAGCUUAUUGAAUAAAAGUGAAUGAACGAUCAGUAGCUCUGGCUAGGUUUUCCUCUAUAAACUUAGCCUUAAUGGUUUCCAUGUGAAGCUGAGAAUGUGAAUUGGUAUCACUUUGGAAGGACAUGAGUUCAUGCAACAAACUCAAUGAAUGAAUACAAUGCUCCAUUGGAUUCAGCAAUAGGACCUUGCAAGGAUAUUGAAUUGUGGAAGAGGAAUGGGUAUCCUUCACCCCAAUUGCUAAAACUAAUGAGAUCUGGUCAAUGUGUUUGAAGUGUUCCUUCCACAACUUUAUUAUACCCCAACCCAUCAGAGCCAUUGAAUGGAGAGGUUGAUGCUCUGAUGAUGCGUGAUCGACCUACUUAUGAGCAAAGAAUAAAAGGUACUAAAUCCUUCUCAAAGUUCAUUCUUCUGCUCAUGUGUACUGCCAACUUUAUGUAAAUUGGUUGAGACAUUAACUACUAGCAUCUCUACAAAUUUGUCUCACCAAUCCUUUGUACUCAUCUUAAAUACAUUUUAUUUAUAAAUAUUGGUUGUGAUAUGAU